UUUAUAUAAACAGACUUAUAGAUUAUGUGCUCUCUGUAUCUGACAUCUCUUUUAUUAUUAUGCUUGUGAAAUUCAUUCAUGCUCUUGCACAUCAUCUUUCUGUGGACAUGUUAGGUGGAUAACUUAAAGCAGAAUUGAUGGGUCACAAAGUUCAGCUUUAGUAGCUGCUGACCAAAGUCACUCCCUUUUUGCACUUUUAAUGGUGUCUUCUAGGGAACAGAAGUUCUUAAUUUUAAUAUUAUUAAUUAAUAUUUUUCCUUUAGCAUUCAUGCUAUUUAUGUUCAGUUAAAAUUUAUUUUUGCCUAGCCUAAGAUUUUGACAUUCAUUCAUGAUAUUUUAAAACAUUUUGUUUAUAUUUUCAAUUUUGGGGGGAUUGACUUUUGUGUACUGUGUCAUGUAUGAUAAGGGUAAGAUUUAUUUUUCCUCAAGUGUGUACAAUUUACCCAUUUGAAAAAACCAUUCUUCCUUUUAGUACACUGAAGUUUCAUCUCUGUCAUAAACCGAGUGAGCAUGUAUGUGUUGGUCUGUUCCUAGGUUCAUAUUCUGAACUCUGUGUCUCUUUGUGCCAAUGCUUUACUAUAUUAAUUACUUUACUAUACUAUAUUAAUUACUGUCACUUUACUACAUACUUAUUUGCUGGUACCAUAAUUCUUGCAUCUUUGUGGUUCAUUGUGAUUUUCUUGACCCUUUUCUCUCCCUAUAAAUUAUAAAAUCAGCAUUCACUUUGCAUAAAGAGCAACAACCUGAGGCUUGCUUGAGAUUGCGUUGAAUAAAUAGUAGAUAAAUUUAAACUGACUUCAUAGUAAAUCUUCUAAUCUAUGAACAUGGUAUGUCUCUCCAUUGGUUAGAUAAUCUUUUUUAAAUUUUUAUUUAUUUUUUUAGUCAUACAUGACAGUAGAAUGCAUUUUGAUAUAUAAUACAUACAUGUAAUGUACAUACAUCAAUCAUAUUGUCUAUUCUAUUCUGCUGCCCUUCCUAUCCUCCCUACUCCUCCCCUCCUCUCCCAUCCUUUCUUGUCGCAGUCCGGCUGCAGCAAAAUAACCGGGGGGUGACGAGCAACUUGCGUAGAUUGAUACAGCAGGAGUGGGAGCCCUUUAUUGUAGGACAACAGAGGUAUUUAUACAUUACACACAGCUUAUCUUAAUUAACAUAAACUAGAUACAGCAGUCAACCAAUAAGAAAUCUCCACACUUAAUGGCUCGCUGGCGCCACCUCACAAACCACUCCCCCUGGCAAAAUGCCAGGCGCCAUCCUGACUUGUUUACAGACUCUAACACUUUCUCUCUAUCCAAUCUAAUGUGACACACUUUUUUUUCUUUUUCUCAUUACAACAUCAUAUAUGUAUUCUGUAUAACAAUGAAGUUCUCCUUCCAUCUUCUGUGCAACUCCUCUUCUCCCUCUUUUUCCCUCCCACCUCUCUUCCCUAUUUAGUGGUAGUUUUCUUCUCAUGCUCUUCCUCCCUAUCCCAUUUUGAGUCACCCCCCUUAUAUCAGAGAAGACAUUUGGCAUUUGUUUUUUAGGGAUUGGCUAACUUCACUUAGCAUAAUCUGCUCUAAUGCCAUCCAUUUGCCUGCAAAUGCCAUGAUCUUGUUAGUGCUGAGUAAUAUUCCAUUGUGUAUAAAUGCCACAUUUUUUUUAUCCAUUCGUCUAUUGAAGGGCAUCUAGGUUGUUUCCACAGUCUUGCUAUUGUGAAUUGUGCUGCUAUGAACAUCGAUGUAGCAGUGUCCCUGUAGUAUGCUCUUCUUAGGUCUUUUGGGUAUAGUCCGAGAAGGGGAAUAGCUGGGUCAAAUGGUGGUUCCAAUUCCAGCUUUCCAAGGAAUCUCCACACUGCUUUCCAAAUUGGCUGCACCAAUUUGCAGUCCCACCAGCAAUGUAUGAGUGUACCUUUUUCCCCGCAUCCUCAUCAG
rnacentral:lncRNA from 1 species